AGCCGCGUGGUAAGCACAAAGCCAACUAUUCUUUCGCCUUUUACUAAAGAAUAAUGUGUGCUUGCUGCAUAAAGCGGCAUACGACUAUUUUUGGAGGGUUUUCUCUUUUUAAUUAAAGAGA
rnacentral:snRNA from 1 species